rfam:Schistosoma mansoni strain Puerto Rico chromosome 6, complete genome
GCACUGCUGAGGAGUCCCAAAAUAGGACGAAACGGCCGUCCAGUGU